AUUGAACGCUGGCGGCAUGCCUUACACAUGCAAGUCGAACGGCAGCACGGGAGCAAUCCUGGUGGCGAGUGGCGAACGGGUGAGUAAUACAUCGGAACGUGCCCAGUAGUGGGGGAUAGCCCGGCGAAAGCCGGAUCAAUACCGCAUGAGACGUGAGGGUGAAAGCGGGGGAUCGCAAGACCUCGCGCUAUUGGAGCGGCCGGGGGCAGAUUAGCUAGGUGGUGGGGUAAAGGCCUACCAAGGCAACGAACUGUAGUUGGGCUGAGAGGACGACCGUCCACACUGGACCUGAGACACGGCCCAGACUCCUACGGGGGGCAGCAGUGGGGAAUUUUGGACAAGGGGGGCAAGCCUGAUCCAGCAAUGCCGCGGGCAGGAAGAAGGCCUUCGGGUUGUAAACUGCUUUUGUCAGGGAAGAAAGCUUCUGGGCUAAUUCCUCGGGAGGAUGACGGUGCCUGAAGAAUAAGCACCGGCUAACUACGUGCCAGCCGCCGCAGUAACAC
rnacentral:rRNA from 1 species